GAUGAACGCUGGCGGCGUGCUUAGCACAUGCAAGUCGAACGAAGCGUAUUCAAGUGAAGUUUUCGGACAAAGCGAGGAUAUGACUUAGUGGCGGACGGGUGAGUAACGCGUGGGCAACCUGCCUUUCACAGCGGGAUAACAGAGGGAAGCUUCUGCUAAUACCGCAUAUACCUUUAUAACGCAUGUUAGGGAGGGGAAAGAAUUAUCGGUGAGAGAUGGGCCCGCGUCCGAUUAGAUAGUUGGUGGGGUAACAGCCUACCAAGUCGACGAUCGGUAGCCGGCUUGAGAGAGUGAACGGCCACAUUGGGACUGAGACACGGCCCAAACUCCUACGGGAGGCAGCAGUGGGGGAUAUUGGACAAUGGGGGCAACCCUGAUCCAGCGACGCCGCGUGAGUGAAGAAGUAUUUCGGUACGUAAAGCUCUAUCAGCAGGGAAGAAAGAAGACGGUACCUGACUAAGAAGCCCCGGCUAACUACGUGCCAGCAGCCGCGGUAAUACGUAGGGGGCAAGCGUUAUCCGGAAUUACUGGGUGUAAAGGGAGCGUAGACGGUUAAACAAGUCUGAAGUGAAAUGCCGGGGCUCAACCUCGGAGCUGCUUUGGAAACUGUAGAACUGGAGUGUCGGAGGGGUAAGCGGAAUUCCCAGUGUAGCGGGUGAAAUGCGUAGAUAUUGGGGAGGAACACCGGCGGCGAAGGCGGCUUACUGGACGACAACUGACGUUGAGGCUCGAAGGCGUGGGUAGCAAACAGG
rnacentral:rRNA from 1 species